rnacentral:rRNA from 1 species
CAAGUCGAGGGGCAGCAUGGUUGUAGCAAUACAACUGAUGGCGACCGGCAAACGGGUGCGGAACACGUACGCAAUCUACCCAAAACUGAUGAAUAGCCCUCCGAAAGGAGGAUUAAUACAUCGUAACUUAAGGAAGUGGCAUCACUAUCUUAAUAUAGCUCCGGCGGUUUUGGAUGAGCGUGCGCCUGAUUAGGUAGUUGGCGGGGUAACGGCCCACCAAGCCUGCGAUCAGUAACUGGUGUGAGAGCACGACCAGUCACACGGGCACUGGGACACGGGCCCGACUCCUACGGGAGGCAGCAGUAAGGAAUAUUGGUCAAUGGACGCAAGUCUGAACCAGCCAUGCCGCGUGAAGGAUGAAGGUCCUCUGGAUUGUAAACUUCUUUUAUAGGGGAAGAAACCCGGAAAUUCUUUUCCGGUUGACGGUACCCUGGGAAUAAGCACCGGCUAACUCCGUGCCAGCAGCCGCGGUAAUACGGAGGGUGCAAGCGUUAUCCGGAUUCACUGGGUUUAAAGGGAGCGUAGGAGGGCAGGUAAGUCAGUGGUGAAAUCUUCGAGCUUAACUCGGAAACUGCCGUUGAUACUAUCUGUCUUGAAUACCGUGGAGAUGAGCGGAAUAUGUCAUGUAGCGGUGAAAUGCUUAGAUAUGACAUAGAACACCAAUUGCGAAGGCAGCUCGUUACACGAAUAUUGACUCUGAGGCUCGAAAGCGUGGGGAUCAAACAGGAUUAGAUACCCUGGUAGUCCACGCCCUAAACGAUGGAUACUCGACAUACGCGAUACACUGUGUGUGUCUGAGCGAAAGCAUUAAGUAUCCCACCUGGGAAGUACGACCGCAAGGUUGAAACUCAAAGGAAUUGGCGGGGGUCCCACAAGCGGUGGA